AGCGAACGCUGGCGGCAGGCUUAACACAUGCAAGUCGAGCGGGCACUUUCGGGUGUCAGCGGCGGACGGGUGAGCAACGCGUGGGAACGUGCCCUCUGGUUCGGAAUAACUCAGGGAAACUUGAGCUAAUACCGGAUACGCCCUUUUGGGGAAAGGCUUGCUGCCGGAGGAUCGGCCCGCGUCUGAUUAGCUAGUUGGUGAGGUAACGGCUCACCAAGGCGACGAUCAGUAGCUGGUCUGAGAGGAUGAUCAGCCACACUGGGACUGAGACACGGCCCAGACUCCUACGGGAGGCAGCAGUGGGGAAUAUUGGACAAUGGGCGCAAGCCUGAUCCAGCCAUGCCGCGUGAGUGAUGAAGGCCUUAGGGUUGUAAAGCUCUUUUAUCCGGGACGAUAAUGACGGUACCGGAGGAAUAAGCCCCGGCUAACUUCGUG
rnacentral:rRNA from 1 species